CCAAGGAUCCGGAAUGCACGGACGGUGUUAGUGGGGGAACAGGAAGUUCCGGGAAGGCGCCCACCAUUCUUCAGUAUAGAGAAAUCGCCAGAACGAUGUGGUCUAGAAGAUAAUCUUCGUGUCCGUUUCUAUUUAUUACUACAGAUUAAGUCUGAGGCCGGUAACAUCAACAGUGAGGACAAACCCAGCCUGCCUCUCUCCUUCCACACUGAGUCCAAACCUACAGUCACUGGGUACUGAUUGUGACAGUGGAACCCAGUUUGCACUGCAGGAUACAGAGAUGGCAUCAGUGAAGCUGGAAGACUGCAGUCAAACACUGGAGCUGAAUGCCAACAUUAAAGAUGAAGAAGAGGAGGAGAAGAUUGGGACAUCUGUUUCUCCUGGAAAAUGCCACGGGCACUAUCUGAUGUGUGGAGACAUUUCACUGCAGCUAAUGUAGAAGGAAAAGCUGUGUACAUGUGCAAAUACUGUGCCAAAUCAUAUGUGAAGAAUGCAGCAAAGAUGCAGAAUUAUCUGGCCAAGUGCAUAAAGUUCCCUCAGCGCUCACACAAGCAACCUCUGACAAAAGUCCCUCUACUUCUAUUCGUGGUGAAAAUUAGGAAUCAGUCACCUUAUCGAUAGCAACAGCUCAUGGUCCUCCUGGAAUCAGAUGUUUUUGUUGACUCAUUGGAGGAACGUAGUCAGAGAAAUGCUGAUGAAUGUCUUGCUCGAGCUGUGAAUGCAACUGGUUCACCUCUGAUGCUCACAGGCAAUGUGUAUUAGAAUAGAUUUCUGAAUGUUCUUCACCCAGCAUACACCCCUCCAACCAGACAUGCUUUAUCUACUAAUUUGCUGAAUACAGAGUUCAAGUGAAGGUCCAGCAAAUCAUAUAUUGCAAUCAUCUCUAAUGGGUGGUCGAAUGUUUGUGGGCAAGGAAUAAUUAACUACAUCAUCUCCAUCCCUCAACCAGUAUUCUACAAGAGCACAGACACAAGGGACAACAGACACACCAGUCUCUACAUUGCAGAUGAGCUGAAGGCAGUCAUCAAUGACCUUGGACCACAGAAGGUAUUUCCACUGGUGACAGACAAUGCUUCGAGCAUAAAGGCUGCUUGAUCUACCCUCACAUCACACCCAUUGGCUGUGCUGUUCAUGCAUUGAAUCUGCACCUCAAGGACAUCAUGGCACUGAAAACAAUGGAUACACUCUACAAGAGAGCGAAGGAAAUGGUUAGGUAUGUGAAGGGUCAUCAAGUUAUUGCAGCAAUCUACCUCACCAAGCAAAGUGAGAAGAAAAGCACCACAUUGAAGCUGCCCAGCAACAACCUGUUGGGGUGGUGUUGUCAUGUUUGACAGUCUCCUGGAGGGGAAGGAGUCUCUCCAAGAAAUGGCCAUAUCACAGUCUGGCGGUAUGGACAACGCCAUCAAGAGGAUCCUCCUGGAUGAUGUAUUUUGGGAGAGAGUGUUAAGCAGCCUGAAACCUAUAGCAGUAGCGAUUGCACGGAUUGAAGGAGACAAUACCAUCCUGUCUGAUGUUCAGACUCUGUUUGCAGAUGUAGGAGAAGAAAUUUCUACUGCCCUGCCCACUUCACUGUUGCUCCAAGCAGAGGAAACUGCAGUUCUGAAAUACAUUAAAAAAAAAACAUGAAGACUUUUGCCUGAAGCCCAUAUACGCCGCAGCGUACAUGUUGUACCCCAAGUAUGCUGGCAAGAGCAUCCUAUCUGGUGCAGAGAUCAAGGCCUAUGGUGUCAUCACUACUGUGUCUCGCCACCUUGGCCUGGAUGAGGGCAAGGU